CCUACGGGAGGCAGCAGUGAGGAAUAUUGGUCAAUGGACGAGAGUCUGAACCAGCCCAAGUAGCGUGCAGGAUGACGGCCCUAUGGGUUGUAAACUGCUUUUAUAAGGGAAUAAAGUGAGCCUCGUGAGGCUUUUUGCAUGUACCUUAUGAAUAAGGACCGGCUAAUUCCGUGCCAGCAG
rnacentral:rRNA from 1 species